rnacentral:rRNA from 1 species
UACGGGGGGGGCAAGCGUUGUUCGGAAUUACUGGGCGUAAAGGGCUCGUAGGCGGCCAACUAAGUCAGACGUGAAAUCCCUCGGCUUAACCGGGGAACUGCGUCUGAUACUGGAUGGCUUGAGAUUGGGAGAGGGAUGCGGAAUUCCUGGUGUAGCGGUGAAAUGCGCAGAUAUCAGGAGGAACACCGGUGGCGAAGGCGGGUCUCUGGGCCGUAACUGACGCUGGAGGAGCGAAAGCGUGGGGAGCGAACAGG